rnacentral:tRNA from 1 species
GAGGCCAUCGUCUAGCGGUCCAGGACCUCGGACUUUCACUCCGAGAACACGAGUUCAAAUCUCGUUGGCCUCA